rnacentral:rRNA from 1 species
GACGAACGCUGGCGGCGUGCCUAACACAUGCAAGUCGAACGAAAAGAGGGAAAGAGCUCGCUCUUUACGGAAUUGAGUGGCAAACGGGUGAGUAAGACGUACACAACCAGCCUUCAGGAUGGGGGCAAAAGACGGAAACGACCGCUAAUAACGAACAAGUUCCAUGGGUCGCAGGGCACAAGGAAGAAAAAGGGGCCUAUACCUAUAAUCUAUCGCAGGAAGAGGGGGUUGCGUCUGAUUAGCGGGUUGGAGGGGUAACGGCCCACCAAGGCGACGUUCAGUGGCCGGCCUCGGAGGCUGAACGGCCACACUGGUGUUGUGACACGGUCCAGACUCCUACGGGAGGCAGCAGUGGGGUAUCUUCCGCAAUGGGCGAAAGUCUUACGGAGCAACGCCGCGUGAGUGAUGACGGCCUUCGGGUUGUAAAGCUCUGUGUUCCGAGACGAACGGGCAGUGUACGAAAAACUAACCGCAUUGACGGUACCGGAAAAGCAAGGUACGGCUAACUACGUG